GACGAACGUUGGCGGCGUGCUUAAUACAUGCAAGUCAACUGAAGCAGUGGUAGCAAUAUCGCUGUGGAGGUGGCGCACGGGUGAGUAACACGUAGGUAAUCUGCCUUCAGGUCUGGCAUAACUCCGGGAAACCGGGGCUAAUAGCAGAUGAUGCAGCGGCUCGACAUCGAGACAGUUGUUAAAGCUAUGGCGCCUGAAGAUGAGCCUGCGUCUGAUUAGCUAGUUGGCGGGGUAACGGCCCACCAAGGCAACGAUCAGUAGCUGGUCUGAGAGGAUGAUCAGCCACACUGGAACUGAGACACGGUCCAGACUCCUACGGGAGGCAGCAGUAAGGAAAAUUGCUCAAUGGGAGAAAUCCUGAAGCAGCAACGCCGAGUGAGGGACGAAGGGCUUUUGCUUGUAAACCUCUGUAGUGAGAGAAAAAAAUCCCAAUCUUUGGGACAUGAUGGUAUCUCAAAAGUAAGCCCCGGCUAACUACGUG
rnacentral:rRNA from 1 species